UACGUAGGGGGCGAGCGUUGUCCGGAUUUAUUGGGCGUAAAGAGCUCGUAGGCCGUUCGGUAAGUCAGAUGUGAAAAACUCCAGGCUCAACUUGGAGAGGCCAUCUGAUACUGCUGUGACUAGAGUCCGGUAGGGGAGCACGGAAUUCCUGGUGUAGCGGUGAAAUGCGCAGAUAUCAGGAGGAACACCAAUGGCGAAGGCAGCUCGCUGGGACGUGACUGACGCUGAGACGCGAAAGCGUGGGGAGCAAACAGG
rnacentral:rRNA from 1 species